UACGGGGGGGGCAAGCGUUGUUCGGAAUUACUGGGCGUAAAGGGCUCGUAGGCGGCCAACUAAGUCAGACGUGAAAUCCCUCGGCUUAACCGGGGAACUGCGUCUGAUACUGGAUGGCUUGAGUUUGGGAGAGGGAUGCGGAAUUCCAGGUGUAGCGGUGAAAUGCGUAGAUAUUGGGAAGAACACCGGUGGCGAAGGCGGCCAACUGGACCAUUUCUGACGCUGAGGCGCGAAAGCGUGGGGAGCAAACAGG
rnacentral:rRNA from 1 species